GAUGAACGCUGGCGGCGUGCUUAACACAUGCAAGUCGAACGGAAAGGCCCAAGCUUGCUUGGGUACUCGAGUGGCGAACGGGUGAGUAACACGUGGGUGAUCUGCCCUGCACUUCGGGAUAAGCCUGGGAAACUGGGUCUAAUACCGGAUAGGACGCUGGUUUGGAUUCCAUUGUGGAAAGUUUUUUCGGUGUGGGAUGUGCUCGCGGCCUAUCAGCUUGUUGGUGGGGUAUUGGCCUACGAAGGCGUCGACGGGUAGCCGGCCUGAGAGGGUGUACGGCCACAUUGGGACUGAGAUACGGCCCAGACUCCUACGGGAGGCAGCAGUGGGGAAUAUUGCACAAUGGGCGCAAGCCUGAUGCAGCGACGCCGCGUGGGGGAUGACGGCCUUCGGGUUGUAAACUCCUUUCGCUAGGGACGAAGCGUUUUUGUGACGGUACCUGGAGAAGAAGCACCGGCUAACUACGUG
rnacentral:rRNA from 1 species